UGGCGGACGGGGGAGUAAUGUCUGGGAAACUGCCCGAUGGAGGGGGAUAACUACUGGAAACGGUAGCUAAUACCGCAUAACGUCGCAAGACCAAAGAGGGGACCUUCGGGCCUCUUGCCAUCGGAUGUGCCCAGAUGGGAUUAGCUAGUAGGUGGGGUAACGGCUCACCUAGGCGACGAUCCCUAGCUGGUCUGAGAGGAUGACCAGCCACACUGGAACUGAGACACGGUCCAG
rnacentral:rRNA from 1 species